GAUGAAGAACGUAGCAAAAUGCGAUACUUGGUGUGAAUUGCAGAAUCCCGUGAACCAUCGAGUUUUUGAACGCAAGUUGCGCCCGAAGCCUUUUGGCCGAGGGCACGUCUGCCUGGGCGUCACGCAUCGCGUCGCCCCCCACAAUUCUCCGUAAAGGGAACAUGUGUUUUGGGGGCGGAUAUUGGUCUCCCGUGCUCAUGGCGUGGUUGGCCGAAAUAGGAGUCCUUUCGAUGGACGCACGAACUAGUGGUGGUCGUAAAAACCCUCGUCUUUUGUUUCGUGCUGUUAGUCGCAAGGGAAACUCUAAGAAAACCCCAACGUGUCGUCUUUUGACGGCGCUUCGACCGCGACCCCAGGUCAGGCGGGACUACCCGCUGAGUUUAAGCAUAUCAAUAAGCGGAGGA
rnacentral:misc_RNA from 1 species